rnacentral:rRNA from 1 species
CAAUUUAGCCAUAUUGCCCUGGAAUUGCCUGCUCUGGUUUGAUCUCAGAAGCUAAGCCAGGCCAGACCCAGUUAGAGCUGAAUGGGAGACCUAGGAAUAGCAGGGGCUGUGGACU